rnacentral:rRNA from 1 species
GACAGAGGUGCCGAGCGUUAGGCGGAAUCACUGGGCUUAAAGCGUGUGUAGGCGGACCGUUAAGUACCUUGUGAAAUCCCCCGGCUCAACCGGGGAACGGCUGGGUAUACUGGCGGUCUUGAGCCAUCCAGGGGCAGUCGGAACAGACGGUGGAGCGGUGAAAUGCGUAGAUAUCGGAAGGAACGCCGGUGGCGAAAGCGACGUGCUGGACCUCUUCUGACGCUGAGGCGCGAAAGCCAGGGGAGCGAACGGG